AUUGAACGCUGGCGGCAGGCUUAACACAUGCAAGUCGAGCGGGGAAAAGUAGCUUGCUACUGGACCUAGCGGCGGACGGGUGAGUAAUGCUUAGGAAUCUGCCUAUUAGUGGGGGACAACAUCUCGAAAGGGAUGCUAAUACCGCAUACGUCCUACGGGAGAAAGCAGGGGACCUUCGGGCCUUGCGCUAAUAGAUGAGACUAAGUCGGAUUAGCUAGUUGGUGGGGUAAAGGCCUACCAAGGUGACGAUCUGUAGCGGGUCUGAGAGGAUGAUCCGCCACACUGGGACUGAGACACGGCCCAGACUCCUACGGGAGGCAGCAGUGGGGAAUAUUGGACAAUGGGGGGAACCCUGAUCCAGCCAUGCCGCGUGUGUGAAGAAGGCCUUUUGGUUGUAAAGCACUUUAAGCGAGGAGGAGGCUACCGAGAUUAAUACUCUUGGAUAGUGGACGUUACUCGCAGAAUAAGCACCGGCUAACUCUGUGCCAGCCGCCGCCGUAAUAC
rnacentral:rRNA from 1 species